GGGAAAACCAAAGGAUGCUAACAUUUCAUGCAAAAGCAAUCAAAUAUAUGUAAGUUCAAGAACAUGAUUAAGGACAUUGAUACAAGCUAAAAUAGGAAUCAACACUUACUUUAACCAAUAUUAUAAAAAUUAAUUAUCAUCGACUGUCUUGGCACAAACAAGCUAUCAGUUAACAAAGGUACAAUUUAACCUUCACAGACUAAUUGACAGGCUACUAUCCAGCAAGCUCCGGCCUGAAACCGAAAGGCAAAUGGAUUGAGCUGUGCAAGAGCCUUUGCCUUUUAGCACAUCUGCCUACAGCUUAAAUUCAUUGCAGGGCUUUUAGGAUCUAAUAAUAUGUAGAAAGCACACUUCAUCGACCAGAUAGCCUUUAUUCAAUAGUCAAAAGAAGGAAAAUUUCCUCUUUCCUUCUGCACUUGUAAUAAAAGACAAUCACAUUAGUAUGGGUUAUACCGGCUGCGUCCACGGUUACUGUCAUUGCCACGUCUUCCACCGCUUGAGCUACCAGCACCACCACCCCUGCCAGCCCGAGGCUGUGGUGGAGGGGUGUGUGGUUGCAUUCCAGGCUGUUG
rnacentral:misc_RNA from 1 species